CUCCCUCCCAGCGCUGAGAAGCCCACAGUCUUCACUCCUUGUGUUCCCUUCGCUCCGUGUUCUUCCCCUCCUCCAAGAAUGGGUCGCCGGCUUCGUGGUGGUCUGCGGUGUACGGCAGCGGUGGUGAUAGUGGUGGUGUUCAUGCAAGUCCUGCCCGCCACAUCUGCUCCUGCCCCUGCCGCUACGGGUGAACGGCCAAAGAGAGCAGCGGAACCCUUCGUCCGCAUGGGCGAGAAGGCCACACAUGCAAGUGCGGGAGUGCUGGGUAACAACGGAGCAUCCAGAAGGCCUGUGAUAACGCAUACUUGGGGAGGUGGAAGCUAUGGUUUCGAUGACUAUUACAACGGCGGCUUCGGUAACAACGGCGGCUUCGGUAACAACGGCGGCUUCGGUAACAACGGCGGCUUCAGUAACAACGGCGGCUUCGGCUGUUGGUGGGGAUGUUGAUGGCUAAGGUCAUUUCGUCCAUGGCAACGAGUGGUAUGGGUUCUCUGAUAUUUGUAUGUACUGUUUCCUUUUUCCUACGCCUGGAAUGCUGUCAGGACCCUCAGGAGGAAAGCUGCCAAGGCCCUUCACAUCAGCCUGCUUGCAUGGUUAGGUUAGGUUACGUUUCGUUGAUCGUUUUUGUAUUAUAGCUCUGUGUGUAGCUACGUAUGUUGGGACAUGUAUGUAUGUAUGUCUGUAUGUAUGUACUCUGAAUGCUGCUGUAUCCAGUCAGAUCUGAUUUGACAGUUGUAUUUCCCAUAUAUGUGUGUGUGUGUGUGUGUGUGUGUGUGUGUGUGUGUGUGUGUGUGUGUGUUGUUGUAACAAUUUGAAUUUUUUCUAAGUUAAUCAAGUUUUUCUUUGAAUUAGCCAAAUGUGUGUUGAGGUGGGGGGAGGGAUUGUUGUGUUGAUGUUUUAUGUCGGGCAAUAAAGAACGUACACAACUAAU